rnacentral:rRNA from 1 species
GACGAACGCUGGCGGCGUGCUUAACACAUGCAAGUCGAACGGUAAGGCCCUUCGGGGUACACGAGUGGCGAACGGGUGAGUAACACGUGGGUGAUCUGCCCUGCACUUCGGGAUAAGCCUGGGAAACUGGGUCUAAUACCGGAUAGGACCACUGCCUGCAUGGGUGGUGGUGGAAAGCGUUUGCGGUGUGGGAUGGGCCCGCGGCCUAUCAGCGUGUUGGUGGGGUGAUGGCCUACCAAGGCGGCGACGGGUAGCUGGCCUGAGAGGGUGACCGGCCACACUGGGACUGAGAUACGGCCCAGACUCCUACGGGAUGCAGCAGUGGUGAAUAUUGCACAAUGGGCGCAAGCCUGAUGCAGCGACGCCGCGUGAGGGAUGACGGCCUUCGGGUUGUAAACCUCUUUCAGCACCGACGAAGCGCAAGUGACGGUAGGUGCAGAAGAAGGACCGGCCAACUACGUGCCAGCCGCCGCCGUAA